GACGAACGCUGGCGGCGUGCUUAACACAUGCAAGUCGAGCGGUAAGGCCCUUUCGGGGGUACACGAGCGGCGAACGGGUGAGUAACACGUGGGUGACCUGCCCUCAGCUCUGGGAUAAGCCCGGGAAACUGGGUCUAAUACCGGAUAUGACUCCAUGACGCAUGUUGUGGGGUGGAAAGCCUUGUGCGGCUGAGGAUGGGCCCGCGGCCUAUCAGCUUGUUGGUGGGGUGAUGGCCACCAAGGCGACGACGGGUAGCCGGCCUGAGAGGGCGACCGGCCACACUGGGACUGAGACACGGCCCAGACUCCUACGGGAGGCAGCAGUGGGGAAUUUUGGACAAUGGGGGCAACCCUGAUCCAGCCAUGCCGCGUGAGUGAAGAAGGCC
rnacentral:rRNA from 1 species